UGAGCAAUCUGCCCUUCUCAUCGGAAUAAGCGUUGGAAACGACGUCUAAUGCCGAAUACGACCUCCUUUCGCAUGAUCGGAGGUGGAAAGCUCCGGCGGAGAAGGAUGAGCUCGCGGCCUAUCAGCUAGUUGGUGUGGGUAAUGGCCCACCAAGGCGACGACGGGUAGCCGGCCCGAGAGGGUGACCGGCCACACUGGGACUGAGACACGGCCCAGACUCCUACGGGAGGNAG
rnacentral:rRNA from 1 species